GCACAAGCGGUGGAGCAUGUGGUUAAUUCGAAGCAACGCGAAGAACCUUACCAGGUCUUGACAUCCCGAUGCUAUUUCUAGAGAUAGAAAGUUACUUCGGUACAUCGGUGACAGGUGGUGCAUGGUUGUCGUCAGCUCGUGUCGUGAGAUGUUGGGUUAAGUCCCGCAACGAGCGCAACCCCUAUUGUUAGUUGCCAUCAUUCAGUUGGGCACUCUAGCGAGACUGCCGGUAAUAAACCGGAGGAAGGUGGGGAUGACGUCAAAUCAUCAUGCCCCUUAUGUCUUGGGCUUCACGCGUGCUACAAUGGCCGGUACAAAGGGCUGCGAUACCGCGAGGUGGAGCGAAUCCCAGAAAGCCGGUCUCAGUUCGGAUUGGGGUCUGCAACUCGACCCCAUGAAGUCGGAGUCGCUAGUAAUCGCAGAUCAGCAACGCUGCGGUGAAUACGUUCCCGGGCCUU
rnacentral:rRNA from 1 species